CAUGUCUUUUUGAAUAUUAAUUUAAGGUUUAAUCUGCUCAAUGAGUUUUAAAUAGCCGCAGUAUUUUAACUGUGCAAAGGUAGCAUAAUAAUUAGUUUCUUAAUUAGAAGCUGGAAUGAAUGAUUGGACAAGAAAAUUUCUGUCUCUUUUUUAAAUUUUUUAAAUUUUAUUUUUAAGUGAAAAAGCUUAAAUUUUUCUAAAAGACGAGAAGACCCUAUAGAGUUUAAUAUGAAUGAAAUAAUUCAAAUUUAGGAAUAAAUUUAUUUUAUUUUGUAUUUGAUUGGGGUGAUUUAAAGAUUAAUUAAAUUCUUUAAUAUUUAAUUGGUGAUAUCUAAAUUUAAAAUCUAUAAUUUAUAAUAAAAAAACAAAUUACCUUAGGGAUAACAGCGUAAUUUUUUUUAAAAGUUCAUAUUUAAAGAAAAGUUUGCGACCUCGAUGUUGGAUUAAAAUUAAUUUUUGGUGCAAUAACUUAAGAAUUAGGUCUGUUCGACCUUUAAAAUUUUACAUGAUCUGAGUUUAAACCGGUGUGAGCCAGGUUGGAUUCUAUCUUUAAAUUGUUAAAAUAUUUUAGUACGAAAGGACCAAGUAUUUGUUAAAUUAAUU
rnacentral:rRNA from 1 species